rnacentral:rRNA from 1 species
AGAGUUUGAUCCUGGCUCAGAUUGAACGCUGGCGGCAGGCCUAACACAUGCAAGUCGAGCGGUAGCACAGAGAGCUUGCUCUCGGGUGACGAGCGGCGGACGGGUGAGUAAUGUCUGGGAAACUGCCUGAUGGAGGGGGAUAACUACUGGAAACGGUAGCUAAUACCGCAUAACGUCGCAAGACCAAAGUGGGGGACCUUCGGGCCUUAUGCCAUCAGAUGUGCCCAGAUGGGAUUAGCUGGUAGGUGGGGUAACGGCUCACCUAGGCGACGAUCCCUAGCUGGUCUGAGAGGAUGACCAGCCACACUGGAACUGAGACACGGUCCAGACUCCUACGGGAGGCAGCAGUGGGGAAUAUUGCACAAUGGGCGCAAGCCUGAUGCAGCCAUGCCGCGUGUGUGAAGAAGGCCUUCGGGUUGUAAAGUACUUUCAGCGAGGAGGAAGGCAUUAAGGUUAAUAACCUCAUCGAUUGACGUUACCCGCAGAAGAAGCACCGGCUAACUCCGUGCCAGCAGCCGCGGUAAUACGGAGGGUGCAAGCGUUAAUCGGAAUUACUGGGCGUAAAGCGCACGCAGGCGGUCUGUCAAGUCGGAUGUGAAAUCCCCGGGCUCAACCUGGGAACUGCAUUCGAAACUGGCAGGCUAGAGUCUUGUAGAGGGGGGUAGAAUUCCAGGUGUAGCGGUGAAAUGCGUAGAGAUCUGGAGGAAUACCGGUGGCGAAGGCGGCCCCCUGGACAAAGACUGACGCUCAGGUGCGAAAGCGUGGGGAGCAAACAGGAUUAGAUACCCUGGUAGUCCACGCUGUAAACGAUGUCGAUUUGGAGGUUGUGCCCUUGAGGCGUGGCUUCCGGAGCUAACGCGUUAAAUCGACCGCCUGGGGAGUACGGCCGCGAGGUUAAAACUCAAAUGAAUUGACGGGGGCCCGCACAAGCGGUGGAGCAUGUGGUUUAAUUCGAUGCAACGCGAAGAACCUUACCUGGUCUUGACAUCCACAGAACUUUCCAGAGAUGGAUUGGUGCCUUCGGGAACUGUGAGACAGGUGCUGCAUGGCUGUCGUCAGCUCGUGUUGUGAAAUGUUGGGUUAAGUCCCGCAACGAGCGCAACCCUUAUCCUUUGUUGCCAGCGGUCCGGCCGGGAACUCAAAGGAGACUGCCAGUGAUAAACUGGAGGAAGGUGGGGAUGACGUCAAGUCAUCAUGGCCCUUACGACCAGGGCUACACACGUGCUACAAUGGCAUAUACAAAGAGAAGCGACCUCGCGAGAGCAAGCGGACCUCAUAAAGUAUGUCGUAGUCCGGAUUGGAGUCUGCAACUCGACUCCGUGAAGUCGGAAUCGCUAGUAAUCGUAGAUCAGAAUGCUACGGUGAAUACGUUCCCGGGCCUUGUACACACCGCCCGUCACACCAUGGGAGUGGGUUGCAAAAGAAGUAGGUAGCUUAACCUUCGGGAGGGCGCUUACCACUUUGUGAUUCAUGACUGGGGUGAAGUCGUAACAAGGUAGCC